UGUACCUCGUUGAUUGGAAGGAAACCCUUCUGAUCAACGAGGCACAUUGCCUUGUUGACCGGAAGGGUUCCCUUCUGGCCAAAGAGGACGUACCUUGUUGAUUGGAAGGGUUUCCUUCCAAUCAACAAGGUACA
rnacentral:miRNA from 1 species